rnacentral:piRNA from 1 species
UAAAGAAUGAACACUUGCCAUCAUCCAA